ensembl:snRNA U6 U6 spliceosomal RNA
GUGCUCAAUCCAGCAGCACAUACACUAAAACUGAAACGAUACAGAGAAAAUUAGCACAGCCCCUGCCAAAGGAUGACAAGCAAAUUCAUGCAGCAUUCCAUAUUUUC